rnacentral:rRNA from 1 species
GACGAACGCUGGCGGCGCGCCUAACACAUGCAAGUCGAACGGAGCUGCGAGAAGCUUGCUUUUCUUAGCUUAGUGGCGAACGGGUGAGUCACGCGUGAGUAACCUGCCCUGGAGUGGGGGACAACAGUUGGAAACGACUGCUAAUACCGCAUAAGCCCACGAUCCGGCAUCGGAUUGAGGGAAAAGGAUUUAUUCGCUUCAGGCUGGACUCGCGUCCAAUUAGCUAGUUGGUGAGGGAACGGCCCACCAAGGCGACGAUUGGUAGCCGGACUGAGAGGUUGAACGGCCACAUUGGGACUGAGGCACGGACCAGACUCCUACGGGAGGCAGCAGUAGGGGAUAUUGCACAAUGGGGGAAACCCUGAUGCAGCGACGCCGCGUGGAGGAAGAAGGUUUUCGGAUUGUAAACUCCUGUCGUUAGGGACGAUAAUGACGGUACCUAACAAGAAAGCACCGGCUAACUACGUG